CAACACCCCUCCAGGUGCAGUAAAGACCGGAAGGAUAUUAUCCCCGAGACACUUCAGUUAUUUUAAUGAGACACGGUGGUGCAACAUGACAGACUGCAGGAGAGGACCCUUGUGUCUGUAGAUAUAGAGUGCUCAUUAUAAGUGAGAGGCUUGACUGGCAGAACCUAAUCCACAUGGAGCUUCGUGGCACACCAUCCGGGCCGUGAUGAUCGCACCCCCGUUCAACCAGUAGGAGUAGUGAGUGCAGUAAAGGAUGCGAUCUCACUGACUUCCCACCUGCAUUCACUGCCAACUGUGUUUGAUAAGGUGUCUGGCCAAGCCAGAAGGAUUUCUGCUGGAGACUGAACCAGGCUAUCUGCUGUAAUAGAUGAAGAAGAAGGUUGUUUCUGUUUGUUGAUUCGUACUUUGACUGGGAUGAGCUGGCAAUGUCAGUCAGCUGUCCACCACUCCACCUCCAGUCAAGACUGGAACACCUGAAAACAACACUGCUGAA